rnacentral:rRNA from 1 species
CCUACGGGAGGCAGCAGUGGGGAAUAUUGGACAAUGGGCGAAGGCCUGAUCCAGCCAUGCCGCGUGUGUGAAGAAGGCCUUCGGGUUGUAAAGCACUUUCAGUGGGGAAGAAAGCCUUGGGGCUAAUACCCUCGAGGAAGGACAUCACCCACAGAAGAAGCACCGGCUAACUCCGUGCCAGCAGCCGCGGUAAUACGGAGGGUGCGAGCGUUAAUCGGAAUUACUGGGCGUAAAGCGCGCGUAGGCGGUCUGAUAAGCCGGUUGUGAAAGCCCCGGGCUCAACCUGGGAACGGCAUCCGGAACUGUCAGGCUAGAGUGCAGGAGAGGAAGGUAGAAUUCCCGGUGUAGCGGUGAAAUGCGUAGAGAUCGGGAGGAAUACCAGUGGCGAAGGCGGCCUUCUGGACUGACACUGACGCUGAGGUGCGAAAGCGUGGGUAGCAAACAGGAUUAGAUACCCUAGUAGUC